rnacentral:rRNA from 1 species
ACUUACACAUGCAAGCAUCCGCACCCCGGUGAGAAUGCCCUCUGAAUCUCCAAGACUAAGAGGAGCGGGUAUCAAGCACACAUCCUGUAGCUCACAACACCUUGCUUAACCACACCCCCACGGGAGACAGCAGUGACAAAAAUUAAGCCAUAAACGAAAGUUUGACUAAGUUAUAUUGACCAGGGUUGGUAAAUCUCGUGCCAGCCACCGCGGUCAUACGAUUAACCCAAGCUAACAGGAAUACGGCGUAAAACGUGUUUAAGCACUAUAUCGAAUAGAGUUAAAUUUUAAUUAAACUGUAAAAAGCCAUAAUUAUAAUAAAAAUAAAUGACGAAAGUAACUCUACGACAGCUGAUACACUAUAGCUAAGACCCAAACUGGGAUUAGAUACCCCACUAUGCUUAGCCCUAAACACAAAUAAUUAUAAAAACAAAAUUAUUCGCCAGAGUACUACCGGCAACAGCCUAAAACUCAAAGGACUUGGCGGUGCUUUACACCCUUCUAGAGGAGCCUGUUCUAUAAUCGAUAAACCCCGAUAGACCUCACCAAUUCUUGCUAAUACAGUCUAUAUACCGCCAUCUUCAGCAAACCCUAAAAAGGAACAAAAGUAAGCACAAUCACAACACAUAAAAACGUUAGGUCAAGGUGUAACCUAUGAAAUGGGAAGAAAUGGGCUACAUUUUCUACCACAAGAAAAUCACACGAAAGUUAUUAUGAAACUAAUAACCAAAGGAGGAUUUAGUAGUAAACUAAGAAUAGAGUGC